rnacentral:rRNA from 1 species
CCUACGGGAGGCAGCAGUAAGGAAUAUUGGUCAAUGGACGAAAGUCUGAACCAGCCAUGCCGCGUGAAGGAUGAAGGCCCUCUGGGUUGUAAACUUCUUUUAUCUGGGACGAAAAAAGCUCAUUCUUGAGCACUUGACGGUACCAGAGGAAUAAGCACCGGCUAACUCCGUGCCAGCAGCCGCGGUAAUACGGAGGGUGCAAGCGUUAUCCGGAUUCACUGGGUUUAAAGGGUGCGUAGGUGGGUCUGUAAGUCAGUGGUGAAAUCUCCGAGCUUAACUCGGAAACUGCCAUUGAUACUAUAGGUCUUGAAUCAUCUGGAGGUAAGCGGAAUAUGUCAUGUAGCGGUGAAAUGCUUAGAUAUGACAUAGAACACCAAUUGCGAAGGCAGCUUACUACGGGUGCAUUGACACUGAGGCACGAAAGCGUGGGGAUCAAACAGGAUUAGAUACCCUGGUAGUCCACGCCCUAAACGAUGGAUACUCGACAUCAGCGAUACACUGUUGUGUCUGNGNGAGANAUAGUAUCCNCCNGAGACGACGACGAGUAGAACGACGAAGAAGUAGACGACGNGAGACGNGCGAGGACGACGACGAGGGGAGGAGG